rnacentral:rRNA from 1 species
UACGUAGGGUGCAAGCGUUGUCCGGAAUCAUUGGGCGUAAAGCGCACGUAGGCGGCUUUCUAAGUCAGGGGUGAAAUCCUGGAGCUCAACUCCAGAACUGCCUUUGAUACUGGAGAGCUUGAGUCCGGGAGAGGUGAGUGGAACUCCGAGUGUAGAGGUGAAAUUCGUAGAUAUUGGGAAGAACACCAGUGGCGAAGGCGGGCUCUCUGGACCGUAACUGACGCUGAGGCGCGAAAGCGUGGGGAGCAAACAGG